ACUAAGCGUACACGGUGGAUGCCCUGGCAGUCAGAGGCGAUGAAGGACGUGCUAAUCUGCGAUAAGCGUCGGUAAGGUGAUAUGAACCGUUAUAACCGGCGAUUUCCGAAUGGGGAAACCCAGUGUGUUUCGACACACUAUCAUUAACUGAAUCCAUAGGUUAAUGAGGCGAACCGGGGGAACUGAAACAUCUAAGUACCCCGAGGAAAAGAAAUCAACCGAGAUUCCCCCAGUAGCGGCGAGCGAACGGGGAGCAGCCCAGAGCCUGAAUCAGUGUGUGUGUUAGUGGAAGCGUCUGGAAAGGCGCGCGAUACAGGGUGACAGCCCCGUACACAAAAAUGCACAUGCUGUGAGCUCGAUGAGUAGGGCGGGACACGUGGUAUCCUGUCUGAAUAUGGGGGGACCAUCCUCCAAGGCUAAAUACUCCUGACUGACCGAUAGUGAACCAGUACCGUGAGGGAAAGGCGAAAAGAACCCCGGCGAGGGGAGUGAAAAAGAACCUGAAACCGUGUACGUACAAGCAGUGGGAGCACGCUUAGGCGUGUGACUGCGUACCUUUUGUAUAAUGGGUCAGCGACUUAUAUUCUGUAGCAAGGUUAACCGAAUAGGGGAGCCGAAGGGAAACCGAGUCUUAACUGGGCGUUAAGUUGCAGGGUAUAGACCCGAAACCCGGUGAUCUAGCCAUGGGCAGGUUGAAGGUUGGGUAACACUAACUGGAGGACCGAACCGACUAAUGUUGAAAAAUUAGCGGAUGACUUGUGGCUGGGGGUGAAAGGCCAAUCAAACCGGGAGAUAGCUGGUUCUCCCCGAAAGCUAUUUAGGUAGCGCCUCGUGAAUUCAUCUCCGGGGGUAGAGCACUGUUUCGGCAAGGGGGUCAUCCCGACUUACCAACCCGAUGCAAACUGCGAAUACCGGAGAAUGUUAUCACGGGAGACACACGGCGGGUGCUAACGUCCGUCGUGAAGAGGGAAACAACCCAGACCGCCAGCUAAGGUCCCAAAGUCAUGGUUAAGUGGGAAACGAUGUGGGAAGGCCCAGACAGCCAGGAUGUUGGCUUAGAAGCAGCCAUCAUUUAAAGAAAGCGUAAUAGCUCACUGGUCGAGUCGGCCUGCGCGGAAGAUGUAACGGGGCUAAACCAUGCACCGAAGCUGCGGCAGCGACGCUUAUGCGUUGUUGGGUAGGGGAGCGUUCUGUAAGCCUGCGAAGGUGUGCUGUGAGGCAUGCUGGAGGUAUCAGAAGUGCGAAUGCUGACAUAAGUAACGAUAAAGCGGGUGAAAAGCCCGCUCGCCGGAAGACCAAGGGUUCCUGUCCAACGUUAAUCGGGGCAGGGUGAGUCGACCCCUAAGGCGAGGCCGAAAGGCGUAGUCGAUGGGAAACAGGUUAAUAUUCCUGUACUUGGUGUUACUGCGAAGGGGGGACGGAGAAGGCUAUGUUGGCCGGGCGACGGUUGUCCCGGUUUAAGCGUGUAGGCUGGUUUUCCAGGCAAAUCCGGAAAAUCAAGGCUGAGGCGUGAUGACGAGGCACUACGGUGCUGAAGCAACAAAUGCCCUGCUUCCAGGAAAAGCCUCUAAGCAUCAGGUAACAUCAAAUCGUACCCCAAACCGACACAGGUGGUCAGGUAGAGAAUACCAAGGCGCUUGAGAGAACUCGGGUGAAGGAACUAGGCAAAAUGGUGCCGUAACUUCGGGAGAAGGCACGCUGAUAUGUAGGUGAAGCGACUUGCUCGUGGAGCUGAAAUCAGUCGAAGAUACCAGCUGGCUGCAACUGUUUAUUAAAAACACAGCACUGUGCAAACACGAAAGUGGACGUAUACGGUGUGACGCCUGCCCGGUGCCGGAAGGUUAAUUGAUGGGGUUAGCCGCAAGGCGAAGCUCUUGAUCGAAGCCCCGGUAAACGGCGGCCGUAACUAUAACGGUCCUAAGGUAGCGAAAUUCCUUGUCGGGUAAGUUCCGACCUGCACGAAUGGCGUAAUGAUGGCCAGGCUGUCUCCACCCGAGACUCAGUGAAAUUGAACUCGCUGUGAAGAUGCAGUGUACCCGCGGCAAGACGGAAAGACCCCGUGAACCUUUACUAUAGCUUGACACUGAACAUUGAGCCUUGAUGUGUAGGAUAGGUGGGAGGCUUUGAAGUGUGGACGCCAGUCUGCAUGGAGCCGACCUUGAAAUACCACCCUUUAAUGUUUGAUGUUCUAACGUUGACCCGUAAUCCGGGUUGCGGACAGUGUCUGGUGGGUAGUUUGACUGGGGCGGUCUCCUCCUAAAGAGUAACGGAGGAGCACGAAGGUUGGCUAAUCCUGGUCGGACAUCAGGAGGUUAGUGCAAUGGCAUAAGCCAGCUUGACUGCGAGCGUGACGGCGCGAGCAGGUGCGAAAGCAGGUCAUAGUGAUCCGGUGGUUCUGAAUGGAAGGGCCAUCGCUCAACGGAUAAAAGGUACUCCGGGGAUAACAGGCUGAUACCGCCCAAGAGUUCAUAUCGACGGCGGUGUUUGGCACCUCGAUGUCGGCUCAUCACAUCCUGGGGCUGAAGUAGGUCCCAAGGGUAUGGCUGUUCGCCAUUUAAAGUGGUACGCGAGCUGGGUUUAGAACGUCGUGAGACAGUUCGGUCCCUAUCUGCCGUGGGCGCUGGAGAACUGAGGGGGGCUGCUCCUAGUACGAGAGGACCGGAGUGGACGCAUCACUGGUGUUCGGGUUGUCAUGCCAAUGGCACUGCCCGGUAGCUAAAUGCGGAAGAGAUAAGUGCUGAAAGCAUCUAAGCACGAAACUUGCCCCGAGAUGAGUUCUCCCUGACUCCUUGAGAGUCCUGAAGGAACGUUGAAGACGACGACGUUGAUAGGCCGGGUGUGUAAGCGCAGCGAUGCGUUGAGCUAACCGGUACUAAUGAACCGUGAGGCUUAACC
rnacentral:rRNA from 1 species